rnacentral:rRNA from 1 species
CAGUCGCCGCGGGAACACGUAGGUGGCAAGCGUUGUCCGGAAUUAUUGGGCGUAAAGGGCUCGCAGGCGGUUUCUUAAGUCUGAUGUGAAAGCCCCCGGCUCAACCGGGGAGGGUCAUUGGAAACUGGGAAACUUGAGUGCAGAAGAGGAGAGUGGAAUUCCACGUGUAGCGGUGAAAUGCGUAGAGAUGUGGAGGAACACCAGUGGCGAAGGCGACUCUCUGGUCUGUAACUGACGCUGAGGAGCGAAAGCGUGGGGAGCGAACAGGAUUAGAUACCCCUGUAGUCCCUGUCUCUUAUAA